CUCUGAAGACAAGAAAAGUUUCUCUAAUCUCUGAAGUUUCUUCUGGUCAGCACAGCCUACAAUUUAUGAGACUCACAAUGUGCUUAAGCGGGUGAUACAAAGCAUACCCAAUUCCAUUUCGGUUCUUAAGGGUGGGACUUCAGUUCUAGAGAAAUUUCUGGACGAACCUUUAGAGAAAAUCCUCUCACUUGUCCACUGCCAUGACCUGGCAGUAAUCCUCAUCAAUUGAGGUAACCUGACUCCAACUCUGUUUCCAAAGAAGCUUAAGACUCCCCUGUUGGACUGUUGGUAAUGGCGGUUGGUUGAAACAUGAGGCAGGG